UACGAAGGGGGCAAGCGUUGUUCGGAUUUACUGGGCGUAAAGGGCGCGCAGGCGGCUCUUCAAGUCAGGCGUGAAAGCCCCGGGCUCAACCUGGGAACUGCGCUUGAGUCUGAAAGGCUAGAGUUCGGGAGAGGAUGGUGGAAUUCCCAGUGUAGAGGUGAAAUUCGUAGAUAUUGGGAAGAACACCGGUGGCGAAGGCGGCCAUCUGGACCGAGACUGACGCUGAGGCGCGAAAGCGUGGGGAGCAAACAGG
rnacentral:rRNA from 1 species